GAUGAACGCUGGCGGCGUGCCUAAUACAUGCAAGUCGAACGCUGGAGAUCUAGCUUGCUAGAUCGAAGGAGUGGCGAACGGGUGAGUAAUACAUAAGCAACCUACCCACGAAGACUGGGAUAAUCUCUGGAAACGGGGACUAAUACCGGAUAGGUAAUCGGAAGGCCUCUUCUGGUUAUUAAAGGUUAAAAACACUGGUGGAUGGGCUUAUGGCGCAUUAGUUAGUUGGUGAGGUAACGGCCCACCAAGACGAUGAUGCGUAGCCGGCCUGAGAGGGUGAACGGCCACAUUGGGACUGAGACACGGCCCAGACUCCUACGGGAGGCAGCAGUAGGGAAUUUUCGGCAAUGGGGGAAACCCUGACCGAGCAACGCCGCGUGAGUGAAGACGGCCUUCGGGUUGUAAAGCUCUGUUGUAAGGGAAGAACGGUAGAUAGAGAAUAUCUAAGUGACGGUACCUUAACAGAAAGCCACGGCUAACUACGUG
rnacentral:rRNA from 1 species